AUUGAACGCUGGCGGCAUGCCUAACACAUGCAAGUCGAACGAGACCUUCGGGUCUAGUGGCGCACGGGUGCGUAACGCGUGGGAAUCUGCCCUCUGGUUCGGAACAACAGUUGGAAACGACUGCUAAUACCGGAUAAUGACUUCGGUCCAAAGAUUUAUCGCCUGAGGAUGAGCCCGCGUAGGAUUAGCUUGUUGGUGAGGUAAAAGCUCACCAAGGCGACGAUCCGUAGGUGGUCUGAGAGGAUGAUCAGCCACACUGGGACUGAGACACGGCCCAGACUCCUACGGGAGGCAGCAGUGGGGAAUAUUGGACAAUGGGCGAAAGCCUGAUCCAGCAAUGCCGCGUGAGUGAUGAAGGCCUUAGGGUUGUAAAGCUCUUUUACCCGGGAUGAUAAUGACAGUACCGGGAGAAUAAGCCCCGGCUAACUCCGUGCCAGCAGCCGCAGUAA
rnacentral:rRNA from 1 species